rnacentral:rRNA from 1 species
UACGGAGGGUGCGAGCGUUGUCCGGAAUCACUGGGCGUAAAGGGCGCGUAGGCGGCGCGGGGAGUCAACGGUGAAAGCUCGGCGCUCAACGCCGAGUCGGCCGUCGAUACUCCCGUGCUUGAGCACUGUAGAGGCAGGUGGAAUUCCGGGUGUAGCGGUGGAAUGCGUAGAGAUCCGGAAGAACACCGGUGGCGAAGGCGGCCUGCUGGGCAGUAGCUGACGCUGAGGCGCGACAGCGUGGGGAGCAACAGG